rnacentral:rRNA from 1 species
GCCAGACUCCUACGGGAGGCAGCAGUGGGGGAUAUUGGACAAUGGGGGGAACCCUGAUCCAGCGACGCCGCGUGAGUGAAGAAGUAUUUCGGUACGUAAAGCUCUAUCAGCAGGAAAGAAAAUGACGGUACCUGACUAAGAGGCCCCGGCUAACUACGUGCCAGCAGCCGCGGUAAUACGUAGGGGGCAAGCGUUAUCCGGAUUUACUGGGUGUAAAGGGAGCGUAGACGGCAGCGCAAGUCUGGAGUGAAAGGCGGGGGCUCAACCCCCGGACUGCUCUGGAAACUGUAGAACUAGAGUGCAGGAGGGGUAAGUGGAAUUCCUAGUGUAGCGGUGAAAUGCGUAGAUAUUAGGAGGAACACCAGUGGCGAAGGCGGCUUACUGGACUGUAACUGACGUUGAGGCUCGAAAGCGUGGGGAGCAAACAGGAUUAGAUACCCCCGUAGA